UGCAAAAGAGGAGGAGGCAUCCCACAUAGCUGAGAAUUCAGUAAAGGAGUCAGAAAUGUGGAGAAAGACGUAAAAGAAGAAGAAGAAGAAAAAGAAGAAGAAGAAACAAGGGGAUCUCCUUGGAUUUUCUCUGUCCUCACAUUAAGCUGGGGACUCCUGCAUUGCCAUGAAGGCUGGGGAGAAAGGAGAGCAGGAGAAGAGCAGCACCUCUCCUGGGAUCAUUGGAGCUCAGUGCUGGCGCCCAGCCCAGCCAGACCUGGAGCUGCAGCACCCUGAGCACCACAGCUGAGGGGAGCAGUGCCUGCCCGAGCCUCUGGGCACUCACCCAGCAAACCUCGCAGCUGGAACACCAGUAUUCCCGAGUAGGAUCUUCCUAGUGAAGAAAAGCAAGCAGCUCAGAAAUUUUCUAAAGAACAACAAUAUUUUAUGAACUGUGAUUGUGGGCUAAUGGGUGAAAUCCCCAGGGAUUAGCUUCCCAAAGGGCAUGCAGAUUGCUCAGAAGGAGGCAUGGUAUAAAGAGCCUCAGGCUCCAAACCACCAACCAGGAGCCUACUUUUUAGUGUGAAAACUCUGCAGCGCAGAUUGUGGAUUUAGCAGAGUAAAACUCCAGCCUGCACAGACUUGUUUACAGCUCAGGAGUUUAUCUGGAAUUGAACUGAGAGAUUCGAGAUCUGGUGAACUAAUCUCAGUUCCUAACUAACCACUGUGUGACUUCUGAAACAGCUGCUGGUAGAACAGAUGGAUUUGACCUAAAAUGCUUUUUGAGAAUAUGACUGGUCCUAAGACCAGAAGGUAUGGAAAAAUUACAGGCAAACAAGCUACGUAACAAGGAGUGUAACAACAUUUCCAAGGAUAAAUCAUUGGUUGUACCCUAAAUCGAUACCAGAAAGAUCAAAAAAUUGGAAGCCCAAGGAUAUUCAGGGUGAUGUAGAAUUUUGACAGGAAAUGUUGUCUGUGCUCCCCAAAGGUCACUGGAACACAGAGCUUAACACAUAUUUAUCUGUCAUCUCAGCUGUCAUCUCAGACAGAGAUUAACUCAUUUGGCUCCUUGAGUCCAGCACUUGACCAACACUGACCUGUGCCAUGGAUGCCUCGACUUGUAUCCAGCUACAGCAGUCUACAGCUGCUUGUUUCCUGCUUCAGAACAAGCCCAGCUGCAUUACCUGAAUGAAGCAAUAUUGACUAACAACAACAACAACAACAAACAAAAAAAAAAUUGGCACUAAGAAGCAGGAGCUGGAUUGACAACUGUGAUAGACAAGUAAAGACUGUAGUUGUUAUUGUUUAAUUGCCAUGGCAACUAAACAUGGCUUUUUUGCUGAAAUAAUAUCAUGGUAACACCUUACUCAAUGUAAAAAAAUAAUAAUCAGUCAACUUAGAUUGCUAUCAGGACUGAACUCAAGUGAAAACUGUACACUUGGAAAAGAAAGGUUAAUAAAAAACACAGAACAGAAAACAAGGUUAGAGGUGAUGUUUUGCCUGUGAGGGGUUUUUCAGAAUGCAGAAGAAAAAGAUUAGUUCCAGAGACAAGAUGAGCAUUAGCUCCCUGGUUUCUGCUUUCUACCAAUAACCUUUUUAGAGUCAUUCCAAAGCACACAAAAGUGCCUGCAGCCAUAAUGCCACCUUCAACUUCUGCUAUCUAUCCCAGAUUUCAAUACAUAUUGCUAUCAAUACUUUUUUUUUGCAAUCUUUUGAAGCAGCUACAAAUUAUAAUUGUUUCACACAUUUAUUAGAAAUUUGGAUCUUUUAGGUAAUCUGACAGUGUUUCAUGUGCUCCUUUUUCACUUACUGGAAAAACCAAAAGUUUGUGAAAUCACAGCUGUGGCACUGGCAUUUCUCUCUUUUUUUGGAUUAUGACUGCGUAAACUAAACCAUGAAACAAUUGCACUGGCUCAUUUUGAUGCAUUUUCUUCUAUUGUGACACUGUUAUAUUAAAAUAAAGACUAAAAGAAUGCACCAUGAGAAAAAUAAAACACUUGAUCAACUCAGUUCUUCCUACUGUUUGCUAUGCAUCUCCUUAUAUUACUUUUUUAAUAUUUUAUAAGCAUUAAAAUAGCUGAAUCUGAAGAUUUUAUUUAUCCCUAUCUUAUAAACAUUUUUCAUGCUGAGAACUGCACAGGAACAAAGAAUAUUUGUAAAGCUCAAAGCCAGUGCACCUUAACUUAUAAGAGAAAUAAGAAUUAAAAAACUUACUGAAGAAAAAGCAGUGAUUUAUAUUUUCAGUUGUUAGGCAAAGUUUAUCUGCUUGAUCCCAGUUAAAUUCUUUGAGAAAAGGUAUAUACUUUGAAGACCUGGCAAAUAAAUAUUACAUGAAAUUGAGCACCUACUGUUUUACAAAUGC